CCAUAUUAGAUGUAAAUAAUUAUUUACAUAAUUUAAAACGUCCUAACCUAAACAUAUUUAAUACAUUAUCACUGAACUACAAAAAAGAGAUUUUACUCCAAUCAAAAUGAAAUCUUUAUUUAAAGAAAAUUUAAGUAUCAUAAAACAUAAAGUACGUUGUAUGGCUGAAUCACCAUCGGUUUUGAACAAUGGUCACAGGGAAUUAGACGCAAGUCCCUUUGAGCCGUCAGUAGCUUUAACAGGUAACAUAUAUUGAUGAAGAUCACUUAUAUUUUGUAGAAAUACCUACUUGAACCAAGAUAACUUGGGCGUUUGAUGUAUAUUUUUAGCUUCUGAGAGAUUGAUCUUAAAAGAAAUAAAAAAGUUGAAUUGGGAAAUACAGGAUAUGAAAAAAACAGAUUAAUAUUAAGUUCUAGUGAAGAACCUUUUCAACUACCAAUUGAGAACCAGGCUUUACUAGAAUCUAUAGAGCAGCAUUUAGAAGAUGAAAAAAAUAUUGAACUUUUGGCUCAACGAUUAUACCUUUGUGGAGGGGACAAUACCCACAAAUCUGUUUUUUUAUUAAUGAAAAAACUGUUUGCCAGAGAUGUAGCAAUGCUCUAUUCUGGAUCAGGAAAGAAGGGAAAAUUAUCAUUUCAGAAGUUGUCAUGUAAGGCUAUUAUAAAAGCUGUUCGUUUUCCAGGCGCCACGGAUGCAGGUAUUAACAAAUCCAUAUCUUUGUAUUUGACAGGAGCAGCAGACAGGGAAGGAAGAC